AGCCAAGGAGGGUUGUUAACAAGUAACCUGUGCAAUAUUUGCUGGAAACUCCUCAUGAAGACAGGUGUGGCACUGCCCUAAAACAGAAGGAAAAAAAUGGUGUCAAUAUUUUUGAUGAGUGUCAGCGACACAGACACCAGUCCAGCGAUAUUGUUCACAGUAAGAAACACCCAGGCUUCUCCAGUAAUAGAACAGGUUUUGCAAUGUUUUCUAGCCUGAGGCUAAUGGAGCAGCAGAGGCAGAUGGGAAUGUUUGCUUUAUCGUAAUCCUAGUUCUACCUGCUGGGCGUAUUCCAUGAGAGAGACCAUGUAUGGCGCUGGUGGCAGAAACCCUGGGAAAACUGCACUUCGGAUUGUGUCCAGAGCUUCAAUGGAGAGGCCACAUUCUAUCAUGCUGCCAACAUUGCUGAGAUAUACACCAUCUUAAAAAUGACCAAGGACAGUGGGUAGGCAUGUCUACCUGUGACUGAGGAUGAUACAGGGCAUGGUCAUCCAGAAAUUCAAGGAAGAACAUUCUUGGUCGCCUCUAAAGAACAACACUCCAGUUAGUAUAUAUAAAAUAUAUGGAAUGCAUUAAAAUAAAUAUGAAUGCACACCUCUUG